UACUAAGUUAAGAUCAUAAUUCACCUCUAAUAGAUCUCAACAACACAACAAAUUCCCCUAAAAAAAAUUCUAAUAUGAAGAAUCAGAUUUAUAUUUGGGAGCUUAUAACACAAAAAGCUACUGAAGACAGAGAGUCAUAGAUAUAAGCAUAGAAUAUGGCAAAAGAAGUGAAGUAAUUAACUAAGCAAAAAGCGAUCUACCUGAAAAGAAGAUCGAAGAGACAG
rnacentral:misc_RNA from 1 species